GUUGAACGCUGGCGGCGUGCCUAAUACAUGCAAGUCGAGCGAACAGACGAGGAGCUUGCUCCUCUGAUGUUAGCGGCGGAAGUGUGAGUAACACGUGGAUAACCUACCUAUAAGACUGGGAUAACUUCGGGAAACCGGAGCUAAUACCGGAUAAUAUAUUGAACCGCAUGGUUCACUAGUGUAAUACGGUUUUGCCGUCUCUUAUAGCUGGAUCCGCGCCGCAUUAGGUAGUUGGUAAGGUAACGGCCUACCAAGGAGACGAUGCGUAGCUGACCUGAGAGGAUGAUCCGCCACACUGGAACUGAGACACGGUCCAGACUCCUACGGGAGGCAGCAGUAGGGAAUCUUGCGCAAUGGGCGAAAGCCUGAAGGAGCAACGCCGCGUGAGUGAAGAAGGUCUUCGGAUCGUAAAACUCUGUUAUUAGGGAAGAAAAAAUGUGUAAGAAACUAUGCACGUCAUGACGGUACCGAAACAGAAAGCAACGGCUAACUACGUG
rnacentral:rRNA from 1 species